rnacentral:rRNA from 1 species
UCCCCAAACAGACCGAUAAAUUGUUGGGCUUUUUUUAUUAGGUUGAGGACAACAAAAAAACCGAAGGUUGGGGCUGUGUCGCUAAUUGGUUAGAAGGGGGGGAUGGGGGGGUGUUUUUUUUUUCUAUUCAGCUAGCCGAAGGGGGGGGGGGCUGCAAAUUUGAUGAAUUAAGGUGGGGACCUAACAAUUUUCUCCUUGAAAAAUAGCCUAGACAAGGCCCGCGCAAGGUUCAAAAUUAACCUUCACUAAGGGGCCAAUUCAUCUAGGUUGAAUGGAAUUCGCCUUUACUCGCUGAAGUUAAGUAUAUCAAUGAGCGGAGGAAAAGAUACUAAGAAGGUUUCGUGUAGUAAAUGCGAGAGAAGCGGGAAAAGCUCAAAAUUUAAAUCUGGUGGUCUUUGGCCAUCGGAGUUGUAAUUUAGAGAAGCGUCUUCCGCGCUGGACCAUGCACAAGUCUCUUGGAAUGGAGCGUCAUAGAGGGUGAGAAUCCCGUAUGUGGCACGGACACACCAGGGCUUCUGUGAUGCGCUCUCGAAGAGUCGAGUUGUUUGGGAAUGCAGCUCAAAAUGGGUGGUGAACUCCAUCUAAAGCUAAAUAUUGGCGAGAGUCUGAUAGCGAACAAGUACCGUGAGGGAAAGAUGAAAAGCACUUUGGAAAGAGAGUGAAACAGUACGUGAAAUUGUUGAAAGGGAAACGCUUGAAGUCAGUCGCGUCGGCCGAGACUCAGCCUUGCCUCGGCUUGGUGUAUUUCUUGGCCCGACGGGUCAGCAUCAAUUUUGCCCCUUGGAUAAUGGCUAGGGAAAUGUGACACCUUUAUAGGUGUGUUAUAGUCUCUCGUCGCAUGCAAGGGUCAGGAUUGAGGAAUCUCAGCAUGCACCUUCGGGUGUCGGGGCUUUUGUCCACGAUACAUGCUUAGGAUGUUGGCGUAAUGGCUUUAAACGACGCCGUCUUGAAACACGG